rnacentral:rRNA from 1 species
AUACGUAGGGGGCGAGCGUUGUCCGGAAUGAUUGGGCGUAAAGGGCGCGUAGGCGGCCCGGUAAGUCUGGAGUGAAAGUCCUGUUUUUAAGAUGGGAAUUGCUUUGGAUACUGUCGGGCUUGAGUGCAGGAGAGGUAAGUGGAAUUCCCAGUGUAGCGGUGAAAUGCGUAGAGAUUGGGAGGAACACCAGUGGCGAAGGCGACUUACUGGGCCGUAACUGACGCUGAGGCGCGAAAGCGUGGGGAGCGAACAGGAUUAGAUACCCUGGUAGUCCACGCGGUAAACGAUGAAUGCUAGGUGUUGCGGGUAUCGACCCCUGCAGUGCCGGAGUAAACACAAUAAGCAUUCCGCCCGGGGAGUACGGCCGCAAGGUUGAAACUCAAAUGAAUUGACGGGG